AUUUAAGUAACUUAAAAUUAGAGUGUUAUAUUGAAGUUAUAAAAGUAGUAUGGAAAUUGACUCUUAAAUA
rnacentral:tRNA from 1 species